rnacentral:lncRNA from 1 species
CAAUGAGCAUACAAUCAAUCUGCGCGAAGGAGACAUUUGGUAUUUCCGGGGGAUUUCAGAGAGGGGGAAGAAGAUCCCAUCUAGAUCUUUAGUCAGACUCUAAAGGAGUCUUACCAUGGCCUGGUACCUGCUUUUCCUGUCACUUCUCAGCUACUGCUCAGGUAAGAGCGUGGAAGACGCACAUCAUGUAGGCCAACAUCAAAACUUGGUCUGCCAGAGGGAGAUAAAGCUUCUGUGGUAUUUGAAUGCAUAGGAAAUGUACCAAAGUCAUGGUUCCUUUCUCUCUUUUUUAUGAAAGGUGUCACUUCACAACCCAGUUUGACUCAGCCUGCCUCCCAGUCGGUGUCUCUGGGCCAAACUGCUACACUCUCCUGCUCAAGAAAUGGUGCUACUCUCUGGGAUGAUAUUCACUGGUAUCAACAGAAACCUGGACAGCCUCCCCGUUUUCUGUGGUAUGGAUCCAGCACCCGGGGAGAAGGGGUCCCAGCUCGCUUCACCGGUUCGCGAUCUGGCUCAUUAACUAUCUCUAACAUCGAGGCUGCAGAUGAAGCAGUUUAUUUUUGUUGUGACUUCGAGCUUGUCAGUGAGACGUUC